CACGUAGGGCGCAAGCGUUGUCCGGAAUUAUUGGGCGUAAAGAGCUCGUAGGCGGUCUGUUGCGUCCGCUGUGAAAACUCGGGGCUUAACCCCGAGCCUGCAGUGGAUACGGGCAGACUAGAGGUAGGUAGGGGAGAAUGGAAUUCCCGGUGUAGCGGUGAAAUGCGCAGAUAUCGAGAGGAACACCUGCGGCGAAGGCGGGUUGCUGGGCUGACACUGACGCUGAUGCGCGAAAGCUAGGGGAGCGAACGGG
rnacentral:rRNA from 1 species